CUACAAGGCACGCCUUGAGAACAACGGGAUCCCCAAAAGCUUGCUGCCAGCUGCUGCAAAAAACCUCAACCAUUUUAUUGUGGAGAAAUUGGCGGACCUGGAUAAAAUGGCAAGAAGGGCCUGCAAGGACACUGACGCAGCAGAGUAAAAAAAUGUGUUGCAAGGUUGCAAGACAUGGCACCCAUGAACAUUCUCAUCUCCUGUGCUUGUGUGGCUACAUUCCGAAGGUAUCAAGGGACAUCGGACAAGGGACCUCAGUCAAAGUUUUCCUAAUGUGAUAUAACCCAUAUGUUAGUUUUCACUUAAUGUUGUUACAUUGCAUUUAUCUUCUAGUCAUGACAUCUUCUA